ACUCACAACCAUCUGGUGAAUAAAGGUGAGAGCUGUCAAACCAUGUAAUGUCAUUUAUAUAAAGGAAUAUCAUUAGCUCUAGAUGUGUCUGAAUAACUAGAUAUUAUUGUGUGAAAAAAUAUUAUUUAACAUCAUAUUUUUAUAUGUAUAUAUUCAAUAUAGUGCUUAGGUAUAACUAGUACUUACUAGUUUAAAUAACGUUGGGGUUCUUUUGGUAGGGGCAAAGGCCAACAAAUUAAUCCCCAAAUCAGGAUUGAUCUCAAUAUAAAUGAAUCAUAAUAGUGACAAAUUUCAUAAAUUAGAUAUCUUGUGUUGAGUUCUUGACCCUUACAGGAAGUAAAAGUCCAAAUGUGAAUUUUCUAUUGCUUUUUUGUGGACAGACAAAGUCAGGGCUUCUCUCUGCCCUUCCCCUCUUGAGGCUGCCAGAACACACACACACACACACACACACACACACACACACACACACACACACACACACACACACAGCAGCAGCAGCAGCACUUACUUCAGUUUUCGCCAGCGAGCAAGCAAAGCAUCUCCUUCUCGUCUGCUGUUCCUCUUCCCACUUCUCUCCUCUCGUCUCAUCUCGUCUUGCCUCCUUGGAAAAUUAAGAUGCGGCCAAGAAACUGGAAAGAAUUAAAAAAAAGAAUAACCUUGGAUUGUUAGCUUGGAUGAAAAGAGAACCUUAACGCGUUGUGAGACGCAGCAGCAGAUGUCAUUUCAUCAAUGAUGUGAUUUCAGGCCUGUGGAUGCUCAGCUGCAGAGAUCAGAAAGCGAGAGAGAUAUACAGACAGAGGAAAAGUAAAAGAGAGAAAAUGAGAGAGAUUCAGCAAACAAUUACAGCUCUCUGAAACGUUUAGCUCAUUGGUACCUCGUGUUCAUUUCUCCCUUCUGGAAUCUUAAAUGUACUGUGGAUUAGCGCUCACUCUGAUCCAUCAUCAUCAUCAUCAUCAGUCAGCGAGAGAGAAAAUACAGGAGAACUAAGAUUUUAGAUUUCCUGUUUUGGAGUACACCACAGACCUCAGCUUUUGGAACAUUACGAGGAAUUUCACAUAAUGCAAAAAAACUUUCGAAUAAGAGUCAUUUAUCACUUUUAUUCCCCAAGAUGUUGUUCCUCUUCAGACCUUGUAAAUUUUCUCCAUAGAUGCUUGGAUGGUAAGAAGUCAAGUUUGUCAGGGGUGAGGUAAGAGUGAGCUUUAACCUGUUCCCCUUUACCCUUUUUCAUUUCCAUUUUUAAAGCAGCAGUAAGAAACUUUGUGUCAAUAAGAUGUUGCUCAUAUUUUCAUGCUAAUGACUAUGUGUAAGCAAGAAGCUAAAAGGGGUGGGGCUUAAUACAUUUUUAAUCACCCAUGUGUUCCAAGAAUGUAUUUCUCUUUUAAUUGUAUUUUGCCUAAAUAUUGGUUAGGAUGAGUAUUUCUUCUUUGUGUAUUUUCAGCAUAUAUAUGUUACUUUAUUUGUGUUUUAUUUUACCUCACAUAUUUACUCAGUGUUUAACUGAAUAUUGUCUCAGUAUGUAUUACAUUGGAGUAUUUAUCAUUUCAUCUGGGUGUAUGAACUGUACAUAAUAUUUCACCUGAGUAUUUCUUUGUGUGUUUUAAUAUUUCACCUAAGCAUUGUCUCAGUAUUUAUUGCUUUACAUGAGUAUUCUGGCUCUGCCACUGUCAAUUGGUCAAAUAUAUUUUCUCAUGUAUGCAUCUCCGUGUUAUUUAUCCUCAUAUUACUAAUAAAAUAUUUCUUAAUUGU